rnacentral:rRNA from 1 species
AGCAGCCGCGGUAAUUCCAGCUCCAAUAGCGUAUAUUAAAGUUGUUGCAGUUAAAAAGCUCGUAGUUGAAUUUCGGGGUCUGUCCGUCGGUCGGGCUUCACAGUCCGUACUGGUGUGAUGGGUUCCUACCUUCUGAAUAACCGGCAUGCCAUUCAGUUGGUGCGCCGGGGAAGCAGAGCUAUUACCUUGAAAAAAUUAGAGUGCUUAAAGCGGGCUAGUGCUUGAAUAGAUUAGCAUGGAAUAAUAAAAUAGGACGGCAUGGUUCUAUUUUGUUGGUUUCUAGGAUCACCGUAAUGAUUAAUAGGGAUAGUUGGGGGCAUUAGUAUUCAAUUGUCAGAGGUGAAAUUCUUGGAUUUAUUGAAGACUAACUUCUGCGAAAGCAUUUGCCAAGGAUGUUUUCAUUAAUCAAGAACGAAAGUUAGGGGAUCGAAGACGAUCAGAUACCGUCGUAGUCUUAACCAUAAACUAUGCCGACUAGGGAUCGGACGAUGUUAAUUUUUAAUGACUCGUUCGCGCCUUA